UACAGAGGUCCCAAGCGUUGUUCGGAUUCACUGGGCGUAAAGGGUGCGUAGGCGGCCGGGUAAGUCUGAUGUGAAAUCUUGCGGCUCAACCGCGAAGCUGCAUUGGAUACUAUUCGGCUUGAGGGUUGGAGGGGGGACUGGAAUUCUCGGUGUAGCAGUGAAAUGCGUAGAUAUCGAGAGGAACACCAGUGGCGAAGGCGAGUCCCUGGACAACUCCUGACGCUGAGGCACGAAAGCUAGGGGAGCAAACAGG
rnacentral:rRNA from 1 species